AGGGGAGUAGCUCAAUUGGCAGAGCAUCGGUCUCCAAAACCGAGGGUUUCGUGUUCGAGUAGCGUCUCCCCUGCCA
rnacentral:tRNA from 1 species